CAUAUCCGGCGCUCCGUAAGCUCAAGCUCGUCACUGGUUAAAUGUGGAGCCUGUUCGAGGAGGGUGAACUUUCUUUUUCCGUCAUCCCAAAAUACAGCAGUGACAUUUGUUUACACGUAGGUAAACAUAAUCGAAGAUCGUAUUCGAUACGAAAUGGACUCCUCUGAGCACGGCUCUUCAAAGUCAUCUACAGGUGAAGCCAGUGCAGGGACGCUACCGCCAGGCCUGACAGAGGAGGAGGCAGAAGAGAUACAGGUGGAGCUCACCAAGGUGGAGGAUGAGAUUCAGACACUGAGACAGGUUAUCGUGGUGAAGGAGAGGCAUGCCGCUGAGCUCAAGCGCAGACUUGGCAUCGGUCCCCUCUCCGAAAUCAAACAGAACCUCACCAAAGGCUGGCAUGAAGUCCAGUGUUCCAAUGCUUAUAUGAGAACCUCACAAACUCUUGGAGACUUGAAUCGUAGAGUUUCCUCAUCUAAUUUAUACCUUACAGCUUCGGCCACACUUGAAGAAAUUGGACGUUCUGAUGCCUAUAAGAGGACUCAGGAGACUCUGUCUCAGGCAGGUCACAUGACAUCAGCUGCGUUCUCCUCAGUGGGCUCUGCCAUCAGAAACCGAUUUGGAGAGAUGAGGGCUCUGCCGUACUCUAACUCUGGGUAAGAGCUAUACGAGAGCCUGCACUGAUGGCAGCCGUCUCCUGUGAAGAUUUCUAGAGCAUUCUAUGGAACUCGCCAAGCUUUAAAUCCUUUGAGGACAAGGUGGAGAAUAUGAAGUACAAAGUAAUGGGGCGAUCAAAUGGAGAGAGCGACCAUUCGCCAACCAGCAACAACGCUCCUUUCUGAGCAGGAAGCACAACCUCAUGACCAAGAACUGAUCUCUGCUAUCCUUCUGUAACGCUGCAGCCAAAUACACUCCAGUCUCUCCACUGCUAAGUUACCUACAAAUGAAUGUACAGAAAGAAAACGAUGCUUUAAGAAACCAAGAUGCCAACAUGCAAAGAGAUAAUGAUUAUUUAACAAGUCUCACCCUUUCAUUAUGCAUUAUAGCCAAACAAAUCCUCUUAAAUUAGAAUAUUAAAACUGGAUAACGCUUUUUGGGACUGUUCAGUUUUUUUCUGUGCAUCUAAUUACCUUUACAUUUAUUGUCAUAUUUUAUCUAGUCAAACUAUGGGCUUCUUUGAAACUUGAGUAGUAAAUGGUCUGUUAUGAUCAGCAUGAAGAGGUAAAAUGUUUGCACAUCUCACACUUAGAAUUUCCUAAAAAAUAUCAGGCUUCUUGAGCCUGCUUCAUUGUCACUGUUUAUUAUUGUUACAUGCUUCCUACAAUGAAUAUUGCACUGGUUAUUAUCACCCUGCUUGUUACUCAGGGGAAAAGGUGCUAAAGCUUUUCUUGUGACGAGACUGAAGCACCAGGUGUGUACUAAAUUAUACAUACAAUACAUUAAAUGUACAAUACAUUUAUUUUAUUGUCUUUAUCUGUUUUGAGUUUUCCCCAGUUUAAUAACAAAAAAAUACUACAAUAUGUUCAAGCAGAAAUGUUUUGAGAUUCGAGCUAUAAAUACAACCUGUUUCUUCUGGCCUGUUUUAGUGUGAGUUCAUUAUUUAUUCACUGUCCAUGCAAUGAUCUGGAAGAGAAUGUUACCAUACUGACCUUACUACUGUUUACAUGUUUGAUGCUUUGUGGCUGUAACAUACUACACCGUUCAGGGUUUAUUAAAGACAAAGAAAUAACGAGAA